rnacentral:lncRNA from 1 species
AUGGGUAGAAAGGGUGGCGGUCGGCCGCGUCCGGCAGGCCCCUCGGCCGCCGCCCCUGCGGGUCCUGCCCCGGGCACGGGGUCCCGUGAUGGCGGCAGUGUGGAUGGAGCCGGCACCGUUGAGUGGACUUUGCUCUGGGCGCUGCUGCCUCUGCUGUGGGUGCCUGUGCUGCCGGGGUGUGCCUCCUGGGCAGGUUGGAGGCCGGAACUGCCGUCCGAUUUCUUCUUCUUCCUAUCGUUUGUUUCCAGCAAGUGGCGUGGGCUUGUCACUUCAUCCCAGUCCUACAGCUGUGGCGGGUCUUUGGCAGGUGUCCAGUCACUGCACGAAGGAUGGAAGGUGCCUCCUGCCAAGGGCUCCCACACCUACAGAUCCAGCCCCUGCCCUGACCUGCAGUCUCUGAGGAACAGAAGGCUUUGGGACCCCAUCCAGGCCCUGCCACUUCCCAAGCAGGUACCACCACUUCAUCAUCACCCAGGAUAAUCAGUGAGUCUCAGUUGCUGUUGCUGUAAUUAUUAUUGUUGCUGUUUUCAUUAUCUUUGUUACUUUUUCCCAUUCCUGUGGCAUCUUAAAGCCCUUACUGUUCUAUGCCUCACAGUCCACAUAGGAAGGUCCUGACCUCAUGGUAUUCUCCAUUGGCUCCCACAUAGGAGGCUCUGUCUCUCUUUUUUUAAGAUUUUAUUUAUUUAUGAGAGACAGAGAGAGGCAGAGACACAGGCAGAGGGAGAAGCAGGCUCCAUGCAGGGAGCCUGAUGUGGGACUUGAUCCCGGGUCUCCAGAAUCAGGCCCUGGGCUGAAGGCAGCGCUAAACCGCUGAGCCACCCGGGCUGCCCAGGAGGCUCUUUUAUGCUGCUGUAUUCCAGGCAAAACAGCAUCUCUGCCUCUUUGAGUCCAGCGCAGAGCUCAGCCCUCACAGGGUACUUGGUUACUCUGCUCCCUUGCCAUCAAGAGAGAUGGACUCUGAUUCCUAUCAGUAGCCCCAAGACCAACACACUGCCUCUGACUUUUCAGAUGCCUGUGACCUUUGAUUAUGUGGCCGUGACUUUUACCCAGGAGGAGUGGGGGCAGCUGGAUCUGGCCCAGAGGACCCUGUAUGAGGAGGUGAUGCUGGAGACCUCCAGGCUCCUGGUGUCUCUGGGUAAGGCUUCCCUAACUCUGCCAUAUGGGAAAUCUGUAACCUCCUCCACUCCACUCUCUGGCUUCAGGCCUGGCUACUUAUGAAGGCUGCUGUAGCCAUCCUGUCCUCCUCCCCACUUCAGUCAUUUUCUAGACUCCUCUUUUCCUGCCUACUCUCUUGUGUCUUAAGGAGGGUUAGGCAAGAAACAUAGUUUGCUUUUGGUCACAACCAAAGGAGAAGGAUGUGCUGGGAGAAGAUGGAGGUAUCUCACAGAACCUGAAGGCAGGAAUUCCAGCUGGGUCCCUGGGGGACUGAUACAGCAACUUAUAAAAGCACAGUUAUGCCCUGGCUACUGGGGCUAUCUUCCUGGCUUCUCUCUGUGGGUUUGCUUGUGUCUGUCUUUUCACAAUGAGUUUUUCUACCACUGCUAUUUUGCAGCAGGAAGUGGCUGCCCAGUCCUUGCUGUGUAAAGGCCCCAUGUUCCUUGUCUUUACUUCUUUCUGUAUGCUGAUACUGUUCCUCUUCACUCAUUCAUUACUCCCAACAUGCCAUCCUUGGCAAAUGAGGAAAAUGGGGUCACUAUGUGAGUCCCUCAUAAAGCUUAAUCUGUUCAAUUUAAAAGACACAUCUUCAUUGUGAAAAGCUCUCCUCUGCAGUUUUUGGUGGUACAAGUCCUUUCUUUUGUGAAAUGUUGGCCAGAAUAGAUGGUGUUUUCUAUUUGUGCACAUGUCUCUAUUUGACCAAAUUGCUAAGUGCGAUUCCCAGUUUUUUCUUCUUAGUGGUUCAUAAAAUGGUGUCACCAAGUCUGCUUCUCCCCCUGACCCCCGUUUCCUGAGGAUUGAAUCCUCCUGCUCACAUCCCCCUCUCACUGUUUCAGCCUCCUUGGACUCAGGUUGCUGGCCCCACAUAGGAGUGUUUGCUGUUUUCUUCUUGCUGUAGUGUUUAGGAGAUCAGGGUCUUUUGUUUCUCCAUAUAAACUUGAGAAUCAGUUUGUUGAUAUCUACAAAAUGACUUGCUGGGAUUUUGACUGGGAUUGCAUUGAAUCUACAGAUCAAAUUGGGAAGAACUGACAUCUCAAUAAUAUUGAGCCUUUCUAUCCAUCUACAUGAAAUAUUGCUCCAUUUAUUUUGUUCUUUGAUUUUGUUUAUCAGAGUUUUGUAGCUUUCCUCAUGUAGAUCUUGUAUAUAUUUUUUUAGAUUUAUACCUAAGUAUUUCAUUUGGGGAGUAAUGUAAAUGGUAAUAUGUUUUUAAUUUUAACUUCUUUUUUUUUAAAGAUUUUAUUUAUUUAUUCAUGAGAGACACAGAUAGAGAGAGAGGCAGAGACACAGGCAGAGGGAGAAGCAGGCUCCCUGUGGGGAGCCUGAUGUGGGACUUGAUCCUGGGUCUCCAGGAUCACGCCCUGGGCGGAAGGCAGGCACUAAACCACUGAGCCAACCAGGGAUCCCCAAUUUUAACUUCUAUUUGUUAAGUGCUGGUAUAUGUGAAGGCAUUUUGUACAUUAACCUUGUAUCCUACAAUCUUGCUAUAAUUGCUUAUUAGUUUUAGAGGUCUUUUUUCUUUUUAUUCUGUUGGAUUUUCCAUGUAGAUGAUCAUGUCAUCUACAAAUGAAGAAUUUUGUUUCUUCCUUCUCAAUCUGUAUACCUUUUUCUUGUUGUAUUAAUUGGUGCUUUCAGCUUAAUGUUGAAAUAUGGUUAGAGAGAACAUCCUGCCUU